rnacentral:lncRNA from 10 species
CCAGCCCGGGUCCGCGCUGCCCCCGCUGCCGCCAGCCGGGUCCACCGGCUCCCGGCGCCAGAGCGCAGGAAACACGACUUCCCACUCCUCGCGGUCGGGGGCGAACUGCAGCUCUGCGGGCGGGGCAGACAGAAGUGCGGGGCUUAAAGUGCCGCGGUUCCAGUAGCACAAACAUUUCCAAGCUCACAGUCCAUAGAUACAGGGCGCUCGCGUUGAAUGCAAUGGAGACCACCCGUCUAGACCCUGAAACUCUGCAACCCCAGAAGCCUUGCGAUCAGAUUACAGACCCCAGCAUUUUCAGAGUAAAAGUACGAUUAUAUUAGGGGCGGGGGAGGGGGAAUCAAAGUUUGGUGACCGCACUUCAUUGUUGAAAAGAAAACCGAUGCAAAGACUCCAGCACGAGUAAACGAUUUCUGAAGUGUAUGCUAGAGCAGAGCGUUGCUAUCAACUUAGGUACGUUCUAAUUUUCCUCCAGGUGCUGUAAACGUACCUUUGCAAAUAUUAUUGCUCUAAUUAGAAGGAAACUAUUCCACAUACGGUUAAAACGAGGCCGGCAGAAGUGUGCUUCAUUUCCGAACUUGACCCCUUAACCUGCACCUCAAGCUCAUUUUUAUUGCUACCCACUGAGCCCUGCUCUCCACGCACCGGUUGCACCAGCCCUGCCGACCCGUACGUUCGCGGUCUCCGCUGGGAUGGCUGGAAAGGAAGCGAGAAAGUCACGGAAGAACUUACCUGAAACGAUCCCAUUCGACAGGAACCCCAGCUGGUAAAGGAGGCAGCAGCAGCAGAUGAGUUUCCGAGGCCGAGCAGGCUAGUGCUGGAGCCCCACAAGACAGACCCACAGCCAGCCGAGAGCCGGGAGUGCUGCCUCUGGACAGGCAGAGGACUGCCCGGCGCGGGCAGGAGAGCUGUGGUGUCCGAGCCGAGGCUCGCCGCCUGCACCCGCGCGGAACGGGCGGAGGCUGGUGUCACAGUCUCAGCAACUUGGUGUGCCAAGCUCCGCACACUCCUCACGCUCCUUAGGACGCACCGCUGAAGGCUCUCACCCGCAGCGGCGCGGGAGGGAAUGAGUAGGGAGAUGGGAAGACACGACUAGAGAGGUGGGUUGUAGAGCAGAAAAGAAUCAAGCACAUCUGACCAGAAAAAGGGACCAAGGGGUGCCCGCCAAGCGUGACUUUGCGGGACAAAGGUCCCAGAACACCGUGCACGUGCUCAAACGCCGGUUGGGAUGGGGUGGGGACCCAAAAUCCCUCACCUGACUAUUGAUUGGCCACUCGGGAAGGCCUGAUUUGCAUCCAUCCCCUGCCCCCGUGUGCAGGUAGAGGUGCCUCCCCCUUCCCAUCCCACUCCUCAAUCCAGCGCCUCUUUUUGUCAAAUUCGCACAUCACACAAGGCAAAAAUUAGUGCAGACUUGACCACAAAACUGAGGCCUCAUUUAUCAAAGGCCUUUGAUUUGUCUUCCCAUCUUUUUCGGAAUUUUCUAAGCCCGGAGAUAAUGUAAUUCGUCAUGGAAUAUGCUUUAAAGUUUCCCAGGACAGUAGGCACCCUUAGGUUUCAGAGCCUCUUUUCCUUCCUUGUCUUUCUAGCUCCCCAUUCAUCAGUACUAUCAGUUUCUCUCCUUCCCCUACCCCACCCCAUUACACACACACACACACACACACACACACACACACACACACGAGUCCUAAAAGGAGUAAGAGUAAGGGAAUCAACAUUAAACAUUAUAUUCUAAAGAUCUCAGACCAGGUGAGAUUAUUUUGUCUUCUGUACUUUUUACUUGUACAUAAAAAAAUAUGUUUUUGCUGUUUCUGUCCUCUUUGGGGCAAUUCAACCCCAUAUAUUUUUUUUUCCUUUGUUGCAAUUCUCUUCAUGGUACCUACUCCCCUUUCCACAACUCUCCCUCAGCCACAUCAAAGCGUUCACAUCCGAUUUAAGGAUGAUUGAUCUGAACUGCCAUUUGCAUCCUCUGGACUAGGCCAGACACCUAGAAAUGAUAAUUAAUGCAAAUCAGUUUUUUUUUUUUUUAAUUCCAGAACUGAGGUUGGUUCACCACUUCCUUUGUUAUUUUACCUUCUGUUCCUUGUGUCAAAGGUGACUACUAUGCCUUUAAGGGAAGCAGACGAUCUUAUUUCAAAGGAAAGCCAUUGUUUGAAUUAGCUGAGUCCUAUAAUACUUUCUUUGAGUUGUCCAGAGUUUAGAAACAAAGGCAAAAACACUCAAGGUGACUUUGUCAAGAGUGAUCUGCCUCUAAACGCUGUCUUAUAAAAUCUCUAAUGCUGGAGUAACUAACAUGUGGGUUUCCAGAUGCUCAAGAAAUAUCUGGGUUACUUAGAAACCUAAAUGCUUUUUUUCAUGAGACUCAAUUUUACAGAUUUAAAGCUAGGCAAAAAAUCAGAGGCAGUUUAUUUUUUGAGUAUAGCAAGCUAUUUAGAUUGAAAGCUAAUUUCAAUGAAACACCUCCAGUAGGAGAUGAGUCUUAACACGUUUCUCACACAUAUUUUAACAACAACAACAAAAAGCAGAACUGAAGGAAUAAUGCAUAUUAAAUUGUAUAUAUUUAUUAGAGUACAUUCAUGAUUUUUUAAAACCAAAUGAGUUGUAUAACUAAGUUAAAUAUACUCAGAAGCACAGCUUACCAAUGUAAGUUUGCAUUGCUGCCUUUUUUUCCCACUAAUAUAUAAUCUUUACCAAUCCUUCAUGGUAAAGGUUAAUAUUGUUAUGGAAAGAUUUGUCUAAUUCCCAGAUAACUCUUCUCUUUUUUCCCUUUUGAAAUACUGUUAUAAUUUAUUUACAUAUUUUAGAGACAUUUAUAAGUCAUUUGGGUUUUAAUGACUUAUGUACUUAUUUCUCCUACUAGACUAUCAAUGUUUUUGAAAGGUAGGAAUGAUUUCUUUUAUAUAUCACCCUGACUAAUUCAAGGAUUUACACUGAAUAGGUUCAGAAAUUAUCAGGAAAUUCUCUCCAAGGUGCUUUAGAAAGUGAUAGAAAUUGAUUUGUCUAUGGUAUUUUGUUCCAAUUUGAAUUCCUUGAUCAGGAGUUGCAACACUAACUCUGCUGGUGAUUAGCAACUAUCAACAUGACUUAUCUGGUUUACAGAAGGAACAGGCCUAAGAGAGAAAUGUGUGGGGAAUUUUUGUGCUCUAGGAGAGACUUAGAUAUGCAAGUGAGAGCGUCCGUUAAAGUGAAUUCAAGUACCUAUGUAUAUAAAAGAAAGAACUAGCCUAAUUUGGAAUUGAGUAAACUGUGUGUGGUGAAAUAGAGAAGAAAAGGCAGGACUGAGGCAUGUGUGUGCAUUACCAACCUUAGAGGAAAGAAAAGAGCAGCUGGGAAAAAUAUGUUGGUAAGACAGAUCACUAUAUAUGUCACCAGAUGGUAGCUAGCACCAAUAGAGCACUGCUUUUGUGUUCUCAGAAUAAGGACAGAAGGAGAAGAGGUAAAUGACAAAGCAUCAGAGUAAGUGGAAUCAACUGUUUUGGUGCUGAUAUUGCCAUUUAUAAUCCAGGCUUCUCCAUAUAGAAAGUUGGCCUUGAUGCUGUCAAAUCUCCCUUAUUCUCUUCACUCACUGGUACUAAGCCCCUCACAACCUAAUCUUACCCUAGGUUAAAAUUAACCUAAGCUAAUCUUAAAUCCACCCGCCCUCCCCCAACCAAAUUCUUAAAAUCUUGAGAAAAUACAAAGAACCCUUUCACUGAGUUCCAUGAAGAUACCAACUCCCAGUAGAACUCACAUCUAAAUUGACAUCAAGUCCUAAGCUAGUUCUGGCCAUAAUGGAAUUACAGGGACCAUAGUUAACUCUCACCUUAGGAAAUUAGAAAACAUAAUAAAAGUUUUUAGACAUUGGACAACAGGCAGCCUAGGGUUAUGACUUAGGAGAGAAGAGAAGUAAAUGAAUUGAUCACUACAAUUUCCCCAGCUUACAACCUGGAGGCAGUUUCAGGACUUAACACAGAGAGAAGAAAGCCAAACAGAGCCCUGAAGACAAGCUGAGUUGAGGAGGCAGAGAAGGAGGCUAGAAUUUAUAGGGCAGAGUAUCAGAAAGGAGGGAACUACACAGAGAGUGAAUCAGUUAUCUAUUGCUACAUAACAACCUUAGCAGUUUAAAACAACAAACAAUUUAUCAUCUGACAUAGUUUCUGAGAGUCAGGAAUCGAAGCCUGGAUAAGCCCAGGUAUUUCUGAUUAAGGCUGUCUCUCAAGUUUGCAGUCAAACUCUUGGCCAGAGCUAUAAUUUCAGCAGACUUAACUGGAAGAAGAGGUUCUGCUUUCAAACUCACUUGGUUAUUGACAGGAAGCUCAGCAUCUUGCUACACAGGUUUUCCCAUAGGGGCUGCUCAUUACAUGCAUUCCCCCAGAACAAGUGAUCUGAGAGAGAGAGCACCCAAAAUAUAGCCAUGGUCUUUUUAAACCUAAUCUUGAAAGUGACAUACCACCACUUCUAUCAUAUUCUCAUCAUAAAAAACAAGUCACUAAGUCCAGCCAACAUUCAAAUGGGGAAAUAUCAAAGAAUUUGUGGACAUAUUUUUAAAACCAUCAUUGUCUGCCUUGACCAUAAAUUACUAGAGAACUUCAAAAAGUAUGUGGAAAAUGGAAGUAAAAGGCAAAAAUAAAAAAAAUAUAAACUUUAUUUCUCAACAUAAGCUCCAUCAAGUUCAAGACACUUUUGUAAGCCAUGAUACUAGCCUCUUACCCCAUCCCUGAAGAACUGAAAGCUGUGGGGUAUUUACCCAUGUCAAUGCAGUCUUUUUUACAUUAUUAACUGAAGGAAAUUGAAUGCCUUUUGAAGAUUAAGGUUAGAAAAUAAAGUCAGAAGAAGCCAAAUCAGGACUUGUAAGGUGGAUACCUAAUGAUUUCUCAUCAAAACUCUCACAAAAUUGCCCUUGUUUGAUGAGAGGACUGAGCAGGAGCAUUGUCAUUUGGAGAAGGACUCUGGUGAAGCUUUCCCAGAGAUUUUCUGCUAAAGCUUUAGCUAGCUUUCUCAAAGUACCCUUAUAAUAAGCAGAUGUUAUUAUUCUUUGGCCCUCCAGAAAGUCAACAAGCAAAAUUCCUUGAGCAUCUCAAAAACUGUUGCCAUGACCUUUGCUCUUAAUUGGUCUGCUUUUGCUUUGAAUGGACCACUUCCCCCUCUUGGUAGCCAUUGCUUUGAUUGUGCUUUGUCUUCAGGAUUUUACUGGGGAAGCCACAUUCCAUUUCCUUUUGCAAUUCAUCAAAGAAAUGCUUCAGUGUUUUGGUACCACUGAUUUAAAAUUUCCAUUGAAAGCCCUGCUAUUGUUUGUAGCUGAGCUGGGUGCAAUGGUUUUGGCAGCCAUCAGGUGGAAAGUUUGAUCAAUUUUAAUUUGUUUGGUCAGGAUAAUGUAAAUUGAACCAAUUGAGAUGUCUCUAAUAUUCGCUAUGACAAAGAGAGGAAGGGAGAAUUCUGGAUGUUUUCUGGAAGAACUUUGAAUUAAUUGUCUAUGUUCUGAUUUCUACAUGUAUGUGAAGAAACCACCUACAGCAUAGGGUGAGUGGUGGGACGGGGAGGCAUAAAGCGUUAAAGGCCAAAGAAUACUCCAAAUGUGAUGAGUUCCAACUGGCUAGAGUGGAAGGUCAUCAUAAUACAAGGGGUACUAGAUAAUGUUCUUAGAAAAGCAUCUGCUUAGUAAUAAAAUUAAAUUAGCCUUGUAAUUAAGGUUUCAUGUGGGCCUAUCUCAACAAGGCUUAAAAGAUAGCUGCAAAAUGGUUCAUCUGUUUCCUAGUAAUUUAAUUUCCUGCUAGAACAAGGUCCAUUUUACUUAAUAAUUAUUAUUAUAUAUAUAGAUAUAUACUUUUUCAUUUAGACAGGGUCUCACUUCAUUGCCCAGGCUGGAGUGCAGUGGCUCAAUCAUGGCUCACUGCAAUCUUGACCUCCUGGGCUUAAGCAGUCCCUUCACCUCAGCAUCCUGAGUAGCUGGGACUACAGGCAUACACCACCAUGCCUGAUUAAUUUUUGUAUUUUUGGUAGAGAUGGAGUUUUGCCAUGUUGCCCAGGUCGGUCUCAAACUCCUGGACUCAAGCAAUCCACCUGUCUCAGCCUCCCAAAGGGCUAGGGUACAGGCAUGCGACACCGCACUUGGCUAGGAAUAAUAAUAUUUUAAAACAACAACAACAACAAUGUAAAGUUUUCAUUCUCUGGAAAUCCAAUUAUAAAUUCCAAGCAUGGGAAAAAAAUGACUCAUAACAAGGAGAAAAGUCACUUAGUAAAAACAGAUCCAGACAUGACAGAAGUAAUAAAAUAAGCCAACAAAAACAUUAAACAGCUAUUACAGAUAUGCUGUAAAUGUAUAUGAAGAUAGAGGAAAGCAUGAACCUGAUCAAGAGUGACAUAAAAAGACCCAAUUUGAAAUUAUAGAGAUGGAAAAUACAAUAUUUUACAUGAAAAAUGUACUGGGUGGUAUUGACAGCAGAUUAGAUACUGCCAAAAAAAGUAUCUGUGAACUUGAAGACAUAGCAAAAGAAACUAACUAUCCAAAGUGAAGCACAGAAAGAAAAAGAUAAGAGUUGACUUGAGUGUUGGUGAACUGUGGGAUAAUAACGAGAUAUCUAAUAUAUAAGUACUUGGAGUUUUAGAAGAAGAGGAGAAAUGGAAAUGGGAAGAGAAACUAUUUGAAAAAAUAAUGGCUGAAAAUUUUCCAAAUUUGAUGAAAACUAUAAUGUAUACAUGCAAGCAUAACAUACUUAAUAAAACUUUGCCAAGGCAUAUCUUAAGCAAAUUGCUAAAAACAGAAAGGAAAUAGAAAAUGUGAAAAGCAGCCAGAGGAAAAAGACAGAUUAUCUAUAGAAACAAAGUUAAGAAUGACAGCAAACUUCUCCUCAAAACUUAUGCAAACAAGAAGACAUAUACAGUCAUGUACCUCAUAUAAGCAUAUUUUAGUCAACAGCAGAACACAUAUAUGACAGUGGUCCCAUAAUAUUAUAUCAUAUUUUUAAUUCACCUUUCUCUGUAGGUAUGUUUAGAUAAACAAAUACUUAGGAUUAUUUUACAAUUGCCUACAGCGUUUAGUAUAGUAAUAUGCUGUACAGGUUUAUAGCAAAGGAGAUAUAGGCUAUACCAUACAGCCUAAGUGUGUCAUAGAAUACAUCAUGUAGGUUUGUAUAAGAACACUCUAUGAUGUUUAAACAGCAAUUAAAUUACCUAAUGAUGCAUUUCUCAAAAUGUAUCCUCUGCUGGGUGCCAUGACUCAUCCCUGUAAUCCCAGCAAUUUGAGAGGCCAAGAUGGGUGGAUCACCUGAGGUCAGGAGUUCAAGACCAGCCUGGCCAACAUGGUGAAACCACGUCUCUACUAAAAAUAUAAAAAAUUAGCCAGACAUGGUGGCGGGUGCCUGUAAUUCCAGCUACUUGGGAGGUGGAGGCAGGAGAAUCGCUUGAACCUAGGAGGCAGAGCUUUCGGUGAGCUGACAUCACGCCAUUGCACUCCAGCCUGGACAACAAGAGCCAAACUUCAUUUCAAAAAAUAAAUAAAUAAAAAUGUAAUUUUUCAUCAAUAAGUGUUGCAUGACUGUAUGUAGAUAUUCUCAAUAAAAUCCUUUAACAGAUACAUAGUUUGUAAAUAUUUUGUCCUAGUUUGUAGCUUGCCCUUUAUUUACUAAAUGAUAUCUUAAAG